UUGUCAGGGAUGCACUGUGAUCACGUUCGCUGAAGUGCUGAACCGUCGUGGUGGGCGGGUGCUCAACCCGGAUCCGGCUUGCCUAUCCCCCUUUCUCGUUGCUCACUUGGAUCAUCUCUUGGCCUGACUCCGCCUUCCCAUCCCCACGGUGGAGCGCGAGAAAGGAGGGCGAGGACGAGAUGACGACCGGGUCGUCCGUCAGCCUCGCUGCCGGGGAGCAGUCGGCCCGCGGUCGCGCGGUGCUGUCCGGCCUGCCGGACACGGCCGGCAUCGUCCUCGUCGGCGAUGGGCCCCGUCGAUGUCGCCCCCCUCAGCGCUAUGAGGGGUGUGCGGUGCGUUUUAUGGUGCGAUGGAUGGCGCUGGGGCAAGGGCGGCCACGGCUCGCACAAGAUUCAGCUCCUGCUCGUGGAGUUAAAGGCCGGUGUUGGGGUCCUCAGCGGCGAGGAGGACGACACGUCGUGUGUACGCAGUGUUCCUCCCGCUCGUGGAGUGAGCGUUUUGGACCAGCCUCGAGGGUGGCCGUCCGGACGGCAACGAGCUUCGGCUCUGCAUCCAGAGCUGCAACUCCGGCAGGCACGCCACUUCUUCGCCCCUCUCAGUCGCCGGUGCUUUUAUUCUGUGUAUGGCGAUGGGGUUGCUUCAUCUGCUCCGUUCAUGUCGUUGAGGUUUUGUGAUGUUUGCCUGUUUCUCGCUCUCGAGUAGGUCCCUGCGUCAAUCUUGCCUUCGGCAUUGAGGUAUUGCAAGGCGCAUCAUUGGACUGAUGUACCAGAAAGGGCAGUGCCACUAGAGAUAAUUAUUCCAGAUCACCUUCUACUUCUUGAUGGAAGUCAUUAUCAGAAUAUUAAUCCAUCACAAGCAAAAUAGGAGACAAGGCAUCAUGAAGCAACUAUAGCAGGCUAUGACAAUUGGUUGUAAUAAAUAAAUGGAGAAUACCCACUGACAGAAGUUUUUGCGCUAAAUAUGUAAGCCAUCCUAAACCCAAUAAAAAACAAAAGAGAACAAUACCGAACCUGAGUAGUAUUCCAAUUUUAUCUCAUAUUAUUUCAUAUAUAUCUGUCAUCAGAUAAGUAUAUUGCAAAUAGAAGGGUUAAAAACAAAUGUAGAAUUUCUGCCAAAUGAAGCUAUGCAAUAUAUGGAACUAACUUGCAAUAGGAUCCCAUGGGAUUACAACUAUGCGAAGAACAGUCUGCUAAGAAAGAAAUUCAGUCCAGUCAAAACGAAAAUCAGUCUCUUUGGCGUCAGAUUGAACAUAUAAAUGAUGAAGGGGGUGCCAGGCAGGCUCGUUGCAUCCACGUCCUCGCUAUUCCUCGCUAUGAAUAGUGCAAAGCAGCUGGCGAGCGAGCGAAAAAAAAACAAGCGAGAGAUAGAUCCCUGCAGCCACCGCAUGCUUCCUCCAUCUCUCCCCUCCCGCACCAUCCACUUCCUCCCUCUGCGCCGCCUCCUCUCCUCCCGAUUCGCCUCCUCCUCUCCUCCUCUCGCGCCUCCUCUCAUCUCCACCUCCUCUCCAGCUGUCGCCGCUGCGCCAGGGCCUCGCCUUGCCCUGCAGUUCCUCGUGCGCCUUCUCUCAUCUCCGCCUCCUCUCCUGCUGCCGCCGCCGCGCCAGGGCCUCGCCUCGCCCUCACCGCCCACUGGUGACCUCCCAGCCCUUGUUCUCCGCCUAAUCCUUUUGCUUCUCUGUACAGACACUGCUGCAUUUGUUGUCCAUUUUGCCAUCGUGAGCUUCAGGUAACUACAUGUGCAAAUAUGCCAAUGGAUUACAUCCUCAGGAUUAACAAGUUCAUGUGUGCUGCUGCUCUUACUAUCUACUAGGUAGGCUGGUCUGAACGCGCUAUUGAUGGCGUUUUCCUCUGGAGUACCAAGAAAAAUAGCAGAUCAUCCCUGUAGUAGAAGCCAUGCAAGCGCCAUGUAAAAUGGUUUUGAAUCGGAACCGAAGCCAUCUGUUGGAAGUAACAUCUGUAGGGACUGAACCUGUAUGCCACUCCCAGUAAUAUAGAGUGAAGGCAAUAACAACAUUGUUUGCUGUUGGUUUAUAAUCGGUAACUGGCCAAGCUACUUGGCUCACUUUCGUUGCCUUUUGCGGGUCCUUUUGUGGGAUGUUGUUGUCAUUCUCGGCCUUAAUGCUCGGAGGAGGGUCAGGGGCAUUUCCUUCAUGGGAAGAGGGGCAUCUGUGAGGGUAUUGGCCAGAAGUAGGCAAGAGUCCUUUCCUUUUCCACAAGGGGUAGUAGCUGUGCCAUUCGAUUCGGAAGACAAAGAGUUGAUCACAAAGGGGUAGCAUUCAGGACCUUUCCUUUUCCACAAGGGACAGUAGCUGUGCCAUUCGAUUCGAAGGACAAAGAGUUGAUCACAAAGGGAUAGCAUUCAGGAUAUAUACACAAAAGAGUAUGAAACCAAAUUAUAUGAUAUAGUUGACCACUAUUUCUAUUAACUUCUUCUGUACACAAUGUUCAUGAGUUCAUGUAUUAAGUACAUUUUAUUGUGUCACUUGUGUUUACUCUUUUUUUAAUGCAAGUUUACAGCUACUCGGAGUUCCUAA